rnacentral:rRNA from 1 species
AGUGAACGCUGGCGGUAGGCCUAACACAUGCCAGUCGAACGGCAGCACAGUAAGAGCUUGCUCUUACGGGUAGCGAGUGGCGGACGGGUGAGGAAUACAUCGGAAUCUACUUUUUCGUGGGGGAUAACGUAGGGAAACUUACGCUAAUACCGCAUACGACCUACGGGUGAAAGCAGGGGAUCUUCGGACCUUGCGCGAUUGAAUGAGCCGAUGUCGGAUUAGCUAGUUGGCGGGGUAAAGGCCCACCAAGGCGACGAUCCGUAGCUGGUCUGAGAGGAUGAUCAGCCACACUGGAACUGAGACACGGUCCAGACUCCUACGGGAGGCAGCAGUGGGGAAUAUUGGACAAUGGGCGCAAGCCUGAUCCAGCCAUACCGCGUGGGUGAAGAAGGCCUUCGGGUUGUAAAGCCCUUUUGUUGGGAAAGAAAAGCAGCAGGUUAAUACCCCGCUGUUCUGACGGUACCCAAAGAGUAAGCACCGGCUAACUUCGUG